AGUUCUGGUCGCGAGCUGAGGCCGCGCGGGUUGUGAGGAGAGGUCUGGUUUGCGCGCGCUGCGCGGACCACCGAAGCUACCUGACGCGGGCGCCGCCGAAGUGGAAGUCGGAGCGGGAGUUUUUGUUUGUGAAGGGCGGCCGCGAGGCCUGAGGCUAACGUCAGGCUGAGGAGAGCGCCGCGCGAUUUGGCAAGAUGACACAGUUUCUGCCUCCCAACCUUCUGGCCCUUUUUGCACCCCGAGAUCCCAUCCCAUACCUGCCACCCCUGGAAAAGCUGCCACAUGAAAAACACCAUAACCAACCUUACUGUGGCAUUGCACCAUACAUCCGAGAGUUUGAGGACCCUCGAGAUGCUCCUCCUCCAACAAGAGCAGAAACCCGGGAAGAACGCAUGGAGAGAAAGAGACGGGAAAAAAUUGAACGGCGACAGCAGGAAGUGGAGACAGAGCUGAAAAUGUGGGACCCUCACAAUGAUCCCAAUGCUCAGGGCGAUGCCUUCAAGACUCUGUUCGUGGCUAGAGUGAACUAUGACACAACAGAAUCUAAGCUUCGGAGAGAGUUUGAGGUGUAUGGACCCAUCAAAAGAAUCCACAUGGUAUACAGUAAACGCUCUGGAAAACCCCGUGGUUAUGCCUUCAUCGAGUAUGAGCAUGAACGAGACAUGCACUCCACCACGCAGCUGGCUUGCAGCUGAUGCUUACGCUCCCCUUACAACACCUCAGUGUAUGGUUGGUAUAAGGGUUUGUAUCAUGGGUAAGAUCACAGCACCGCACACCAGCCCAGCUUAGCCAGGCAGCUUAGGAACAGUGAGGCUUCCCUUCCCACCCUAGUCACCUUUCAGUAUCCCUUCACCCACAGCCCUCUCCUCAUUUGGGUGCCCUUUGCCCCUCUUGCCCCCAUCCACAUGCUCUCUGGUAAUCUCGCUGAUCCCAAGGGGAAGGGUGGACCUCGAUGGGAAAGGCAUUUGCCUCCAUCUAUAGUCGGGCUCCACCCAGCCUCUGACACCUGGGUCAUAUUGGCAACCCUAAAGCUGGGGUGUCCUGGGACCAGGGCUCUAUGUGGAGCCCUUCAGCCCAACCCUCCCUGCCCUAUGACUUCUGUGGAGUUGUCACCAUAGUGGUCUUGGAAAGUCUCUGGUUUCUAGCUUGGGGUAUUGUGUCCCUCCUGUCUUCCUUGGUGUGGUGGGAGUCUCCUUAGAAGGCAGCUGUGAUGUCCAGUGCCUGAGCUCCCCAAAGUGCAUGGAUUGGGGUUCAGGGUAUGGGAGGGGUGGAGCAGGCUUUAAAACAACUAAAGGUGUGGUAGUUUUUACUAAAUCUGCACAGAGGUGGAAGAGAGGGAAAGAGAGAGAGAGAAGCCUAGAAUGACACAAUUACAUGGUCUUGCUGUUUUCUGGGUUGGACCUCUCCCGGGGUUUGGGAUGGGGAACCUGAGCAGGGUUCCUGUAUUGACUGACCCUCUCAAGCUGUUCUGGGGUUAGGGGCCGAUCGGCCCCUCCUGGAGCAUGGGGAGCAUUCUUUUGGAUCCCAGGUGUAUCCCCUGUGUACUGGCCUCAGGCCUGUUGCCACUAGUGGGAGGGCAUAUGGAUCCAGGUGGAAAGCCUGACCCCAGGACUGAGUGCUGGGCCUGUACCUAGUGGAGCGUAACUGAGGCAGUGGUGAGCAGUAGGUGCUUUUGAGGCCUUGAGGCCCACUGUUUAGGUUGGGCAGGAUAGAUAGAUCCAGGUCUCCCAGCCCGGGCGCAAACAUUCCUCUGACAUUCAGAGGCUCCCUUUUUUCCUUCAUCCACUUGUCUCUAGAUGAUGUGGGAAAUGUAGUGUCUCCCUCUCAGGGUUCCCUGUAGCUUUAGUUGCCCCUGUGGUGGUGGGUGUGGGGUUGUGUGAGUGUUCAGGUAAGCUUGGGGUCUCCAGGUAAGCAGUCCCGUGUCCCAACCCCCACCCCACCCCCGGGAAGCCCGCCUCCUCGCCAGGCCCCCAGGAGUUGCCGGCCCCCCCCAUCCCGCUCGGUUUGGACACCCGCAAGGCCGGCAUCGCCGCUUACAAGCACGCAGAUGGCAAGAAGAUAGAUGGCAGGAGGGUCCUCGUGGAUGUGGAGAGGGGCCGGACUGUGAAGGGCUGGAGGCCCCGGCGCCUAGGAGGUGGCCUUGGUGGUACCAGAAGAGGUGGGGCAGAUGUGAAUAUCAGGCAUUCGGGCCGAGAUGACACUUCCCGAUAUGAUGAGAGGCCGGGCCCCUCCCCGCUUCCACACAGAGACCGGGACCGGGACCGCGAGCGGGAGCGCAGAGAAAGAAGCCGAGAACGAGACAAGGAGAGAGAAAGGAGACGCUCCCGCUCUCGGGACCGGAGGAGGCGCUCCCGGAGUCGAGACAAGGAUGAGCGGCGACGGUCCAGGGAGCGUAGCAAGGACAAGGACCGAGACCGAAAGCGACGAAGCAGUCGGAGCCGGGAGCGAGCACGCAGGGAACGGGAGCGAAAAGAGGAGCUUCGAGGUGGAGGAGGUGGUGGCGGUGGUGGCAGUGGUGGUGGUGGCGGCGGCGACAUGGCUGAACCCUCUGAAGCUGGUGAUGGAGCUCCUGAUGAUGGGCCUCCUGGAGAGCUUGGCCCUGAAGGCCCUGAUGGCCCAGAGGAGAAGGGCCGGGAUCGAGACCGGGAGAGGCGACGUAGUCACCGGAGUGAGAGGGAACGUCGUCGGGACCGAGACCGUGAUCGGGAUCGAGAGCACAAGCGUGGGGAGCGGGGCAGUGAGCGGGGCAGGGAUGAGGCCCGGGGUGGGGGUGGCAGCGGUCAGGACAAUGGGCUGGAAGGGCUAGGUAGUGAUGGUCGAGACAUGUACAUGGAGGCAGAGGGUGGUGAUGGGUACAUGGCCCCAGAGAAUGGAUAUCUGAUGGAGGCAGCGCCCGAAUGAAGAGGCCUGUAGUGGACAUGCUCCUAAUCUUGCUGUCUGCCUUCCUAGCCUUUUCCACCUUGGCUUGCCUCUGAGGGUAGAUUUUUUUUUUUAAUCCGGUCCCUUGGAUUUAAAAAUAAAAUUAAUUUUCUGUU
rnacentral:lncRNA from 1 species